rnacentral:lncRNA from 1 species
AAGGGGAAGAGCAGGAAAGUGAAGAAGAAGGGCGUGAUGAAGUAGGAGAUGAGGAGAUAGAUUUUGAGGAGGAUGACUGAACUUUUUAUGUUUUUUUAAGAUUGUAUUAAUUCUUGGAUGAUUUUUAUUUGAUUUUUUUAGGAGUAGGAUUAAUUGUAGAUUAUUAGUUGUUUUAUGUCCUGCUCUAAUUUUUCUACGUAAGAACCCCACAUGGAGGAGGCACAACACUUAGAUCUUUCAAAAAGCAAUAGAAGAAGCACACACCAAUAGCCUACGGAACUAUCACG